UUUCUUAUUCUGUUACUUCAACUUCAUUCGUUUUAUUGCCGGGCAGAAUCUCCUUUGUUAUCUCUGUUCGUUCUGUUAUCAGAGGUCCAUCGCCAUUUUCUGUAACAUUCUUAGUCUCGAGAGAAGUAUCCUUAAUGGUUUCCUGUGAAGGUAGUUUUUCUUUUUCUGUUACUUCAACUUCAUUCGUUUUAUUGCCGGGCAGAAUCUCCUUUGUUAUCUCUGUUCGUUCUGUUAUCAGAGGUCCAUCGCCAUUUUCUGUAACAUUCUUAGUCUCGAGAGAAGUAUCCUUAAUGGUUUCCUGUGAAGGUAGUUUUUCUUCUUUUUCUGUUACUUCAACUUCAUUCGUUUUAUUGCCGGGCAGAAUCUCCUUUGUUAUCUCUGUUCGUUCUGUUAUCAGAGGUCCAUCGACAUUUUCUGUAACAUUCUUAGUCUCGAGAGAAGUAUCCUUAAUGGUUUCCUGUGAAGGUAGUUUUUCUUCUUUUUCUGUUAUUACAACUUCAUUCGUUUUAUUGCCGGGCAGAAUCUCCUUUGUUAUCUCUGUUCGUUCUACUUUAUGAGGUCCAUCGCUCUUUUCUGUAGCGUUCCUCCCCUCCACAAAUGUCAUCGUAAUGCUUUUCUGUGAAGGUAGUUUUUCUUCUUUCUCUGUUACUAAAGUUUCAUUCGUUUUAUUGCCGGGCAGAAUCUCCUUUGUUAUCUCUGUUCGUUCU